rnacentral:rRNA from 1 species
CAGUAGCCGCGGGAAUACGUAGGUCCCGAGCGUUGUCCGGAUUUAUUGGGCGUAAAGCGAGCGCAGGCGGUUAGAUAAGUCUGAAGUUAAAGGCUGUGGCUUAACCAUAGUACGCUUUGGAAACUGUUUAACUUGAGUGCAAGAGGGGAGAGUGGAAUUCCAUGUGUAGCGGUGAAAUGCGUAGAUAUAUGGAGGAACACCGGUGGCGAAAGCGGCUCUCUGGCUUGUAACUGACGCUGAGGCUCGAAAGCGUGGGGAGCAAACAGGAUUAGAUACCCCAGUAGUCCCUGUCUCUUAUACA